CAGAGAAUAGUUUAAUAUAAAAUAUUAAUUUUGGGGAUUAAAGAUGGGGGUGACUCUUUCUCUGA
rnacentral:tRNA from 1 species